UUGUGUGCAAAUGACUUUUUUUGUGUACAAAAUCCCUCUGUACGUGUGCUUAGUAAACUCCAAAGAAUUGGGAUACAGUCAAACUUCAUGAUUUGGCCUGCAUGGGACAUUGGUGUCCUUGAGCACAUUUUCCAGAUUUCCAGAUUGUUAUCUCCUUUAAUACUCUAACACUUAUCAAGGGUGCAGAGGAUCAGAACACAGUUGAGUUUGAAGGGAAGACAAAAAGUGCUUGAGUAACUCAGCAGGACAGGCAGCAUCAGGCAUGUUUAGAGGGUUAUGGGCCAGGGGAGGGCAGGUGGGACUAGUGUAGCAGGAUUAAAGUUAAUUAAAAAUGAGCUAGAAGAGAGUGCGGGAAUUGGGACCCCGAUGAGUAUCAAGGGAACGCAGGAACCAGGAUCAAUAUUAAUUGGAGGGAAAUCAGGAACCUAUGCCCCAGUGUGUGAAAAGGAGGUAAGGUUAUACGGUCAUGAGGAAUAGGAGUAGAAUUCGUCCAUUUGGCCAAUCAAGUCUACACCGCCAUUCAAUCAUUGUCGAUCUAUUUCUCCCUCGUAACCCUGUUCUCCUACCUUCUCCCCAUAACCUCUGACCCAUAAUAAUCAAGAAUCUAUCAAUCUCUGCCUUAAAAAUAUCCACUGACUUGGCCUCCACAACCUUCCGUGGCAAAGAAUUCCACUGAUUCACCAUCCUCUAACUAAAGAAAUUUCUCCUCAUCUCCUUCCUAAAAGAACGUCCUUUAAUUCUGAGGCUAUGACCUCUAGUCCUAGACUCUCCUACUCGUGAAAACAUCCUCUCCACAUCCACUAUCCAAGCCUUUCACUAUUUUGUAUGUUUCAAUGAGGUCCCCCCUCAUUCUUCUAAACUCCAGCGAGUACAGGCCCAGUGCCGACAAAUGCUCAUCAUAGGUUAACCUGCUCAUUCCUGGCAAGUAGGAACUGGAGUGCUGUAGCAUGAGAGGGCACGCGGGCAGCUCAACGCUGACGUUGAUUAGUGCGCUGAUUGUGCAUUCUAUUUUUAUUAUAUCUCGUCUGAGCAGCCGAAUUAGUUACAGUACCAGAUGAGUCAGAUGCUGAACUUUUGAUUGUUAUUAUUAUGACAAUAUGUUCAGCACAGACAUUGUGGGCCAAAAGGAUUGUUCCUUUGCUGUAGAAACAAGGACACAAAGUGCUGUUGUAACUCAACGGGUCAGGCAGCAUCCCUGGAGAAUAUGCAUAGGUGGCAUAUUAGACAGUAGACAAUAGGUGCAGGAGUAGGCCCUUUGGCCCUACAAGCCAGCACCGCCAUUCAAUGUGAUCAUGGCUGAUCAUCCCUAAUCAGUAUCCCAUUCCUGCCUUCUCCCCAUAUCCCCUGACUCCGCUAUCUUUAAGAGCCCUAUCUAGCUCUCCCUUGAAAGUAUCCAGAGAACCUGCCUCCACCACCCUCUGAGGCACAGAAUUCCACAGACUCACCACUCUCUGUGAGAAAAAAUGUUUCCUCGUCUCCGUUCUAAAUGGCUUACCCCUUAUUCUUAAACUGUGGCCCCUGGUUCUGGACUCCCCCAACAUUGGGAACAUGUUUCCUGCCUGUAGCGUGUCCAAAUCCUUUACAAUCUUAUAUAUUUCAAUAAGAAGCCCUCUCAUCCUUCUAAACUUCAUAGUGUACAAGCCCAGCUGCUCCAUUCUCUCAGCAUAUGACAGUCCCACCAUCCCGGGAAUUGUGUCUAUCUUUGGAUUAAACCAGCAUCUGCAUGCAGUUCCUUCCUGCACUCCUGAUUCAUUUUACUGUUUGUAUGCCACGUUGUCAACAUCCCCUCAACCACCAAUGAACCAUUCUACAUUUCCUUGCCCAUCAUCUGCUUUGACCUGUCGUUUUCACACCUUACAUUCCUCCAGUUUCCCUCUCCCCUGACUCCCAGUCUGCAAAAGGGUCUCGACCCGAAACGUCACCCAUUCCUUCUCCUUCCUUCCAGAGAUGCUGCCUGUCCCGCUGAGUUACUCCAGCAUUUUGUGUCUAUCUUCGGUGUAAACCAGCAUCUGCAGUUCCUUCCCACACUGUGAGACAAAUAGGUUGGAAGCAGGUGAGGGGCAGAGGGUUAGAUGGAGGUUCCCUAAAAUUGGAGAAUGUUGUUCUUCCGAGGGAGAAGUUUAAAUACGGAAAGCGCGGUUUGUGAUUCUUGACUAACACUUGCUUUCUUUCUGUAUCUGUAUCUUGACGUACAAUCACCAUCAUUGGUUGUCGUACAUACGUGAGGAGGCUCUUUGUAGGUGUGGGCUUGCGGGCGCCUCUCGUGAUCGUGAUGAGGCACCAAUGGAAAGUGAGGGAGGCAUCGUGGAUCUGCGCCGCUUCCUGGUCAGCGCUGAAUUCCCCCGACCGACCGACCGCUCACGUCAGUCAGCCUGUCAUUAUCAGGCUGAUAAAUACCAGCGACCUCUUGCAGCCGCUCAGUGCGAGCCAAAGAUCUCAUCCAGUGGAUCUUUGGUGCGAGCCGACUUCGUGCUGCCGGCUCUCGGAAACUUGGCCGUUUGCAGUCACAUCGAUCGAGCGAAACCGGUAACAAAAAGCGAAUGAAGCCUUUGAUGCGGACCAGUGUCAAGAGAUCAGAGCCCCAAUCUUCCUCAACAGAUCCAAAAGACUUCAAAGCGGUUGCGCAAGAGCUGAGGAAAAUGGGAGACCUUUUGUAUCUCAAACACUUGAUACUCAAUCUUCAACUUGAUGAAAAUUACAAGAAAAAAUGCAACAACAUAAAGAAAAAGUGAAAACGGCCUAGUGCUAUUUUACAUUUCGUGGGAAAUAAUGCUGCAUUGAUGUUACUGCUGAAGAAAUGCAAGAGAAUUAAAGAGUGAAAGAGCAACUGGAAUGGAUUUGUGCUGUCUAAGCCAUGCCUAGAGGAGAUAUCACCAAUCAAGCAUGCAAUUUGUAGAGGAGAAUUAUUAAAACAGUGAAAAAAAACAGGAAAAAAAACACAAUCUUAUAACUUAACUUCAAAUGGCCAAUAUAAAAUUGACCUAAUUUCCACAUUCGGGGUGAAUGGGCUCAAAUUCCAUUUUUUAAAGUUGGUGUGAAUGUGAUACUUUUUAAGAAACUCACAUAUCAAGAUGUAUUAACUUAUUAUUUAUAUGUAAUAAACCUGAGAGUUGGUUGAAUGUGGAAGAAAUGAGAACUAUUAAAUACCAAGUUUCAUUUAAA